GCCAUCUUAGCUCAGAUAGGUAGAGCAUCACCAUGGUAAGGUGGGGGUCGUCGGUUCAAAUCCGAUAGAUGGCUCUA
rnacentral:tRNA from 1 species